AUGCCCUCGAGGACGCGGUUAUGUGAAGACACGGACUGGAUGCUAUGCAGUGUUUCAUCAGAAGUUCACUUGGCCAGAAGCAGCGAUCUUCUGCUUCGUGGAAGGAGCACGUCUUGUUGAAAUUCGAAAUGGAAAAAAGAACAGAGAUGUGGUGGCAUUAGCAAAAAAGCGAAAACUAGCCGGCAAUAUAUGGAUAGCAGCCAAUGAUAUAAUUCAAGAA